CAGAAAAAGCACCGGCUAACUACGUGCCAGCAGCCGCGGUAAUACGUAGGGUGCAAGCGUUGUCCGGAAUUAUUGGGCGUAAAGAGCUCGUAGGCGGUUUGUCGCGUCUGCUGUGAAAUCUGGGGGCUCAACCCCCAGCUGCAGUGGGUACGGGCAGACUAGAGUGCGGUAGGGGAGAUUGGAAUUCCUGGUGUAGCGGUGGAAUGCGCAGAUAUCAGGAGGAACACCGAUGGCGAAGGCAGAUCUCUGGGCCGUUACUGACGCUGAGGAGCGAAAGCAUGGGGAGCGAACAGGAUUAGAUACCCUGGUAGUCCAUGCCGUAAACGUUGGGAACUAGAUGUAGGGGCCAUUCCACGGUUUCUGUGUCGCAGCUAACGCAUUAAGUUCCCCGCCUGGGGAGUACGGCCGCAAGGCUAAAACUCAAAGGAAUUGACGGGGGCCCGCACAAGCGGCGGAGCAUGCGGAUUAAUUCGAUGCAACGCGAAGAACCUUACCAAGGCUUGACAUAUACCGGAAACGUCCAGAGAUGGUCGCCCCGCAAGGUCGGUAUACAGGUGGUGCAUGGUUGUCGUCAGCUCGUGUCGUGAGAUGUUGGGUUAAGUCCCGCAACGAGCGCAACCCUCGUUCUAUGUUGCCAGCACGUUAUGGUGGGAACUCAUAGGAGACUGCCGGGGUCAACUCGGAGGAAGGUGGGGAUGACGUCAAAUCAUCAUGCCCCUUAUGUCUUGGGCUUCACGCAUGCUACAAUGGCCGAUACAAAGGGCUGCAAUACCGUAAGGUGGAGCGAAUCCCAAAAAGUCGGUCUCAGUUCGGAUUGAGGUCUGCAACUCGACCUCAUGAAGUCGGAGUCGCUAGUAAUCGCAGAUCAGCAACGCUGCGGUGAAUACGUUCCCGGGCCUUGUACACACCGCCCGUCAAGUCAUGAAAGUCGGUAACACCCGAAGCCGGUGGCCCAACCCCUUGUGGGAGGGA
rnacentral:rRNA from 1 species